UGUAGGAAUUUUUAUGAGUUAGGAUAUUGUAAACAAGAAAGAAAAUAAUACCAUCCAUUGGACAGGACUGUUCCUCCCCGGCAGUGUCGUGUGGCAGGACGAGUAACCAGGAAAGCUCGACUCUUGUUUCUUGUGGUUCAGAAUACACGUUGAAGUCAAUUUGUACGUGAAAAAAGUAAAUGUUAUGGUGAACAAACGCAUCUGUUGAACUCUAAAGGGCGAGAGGAAGGUAGGCCGUUGUUCAAAUUCUGUUACGUGAAACUUAUAUAUUUCAAGUGCUGUCUGUGCUCAGUGUGUUGUGACGAAGCUUCACUCGGCACAGCUCCGAGACAACACAGUCGCCCGGCCCAUCUUAGUGCGUUGCGGCAGCGUGCUGAGGCUGGGCCUUCGCGAGGGAACAGGAGUAACACGCCCAUCACCAGCCACUCAACAAAUGGAGAGGAAGAGCUAUGCUCGCGGUGUCUUCUCUCCUAAUAAUAAUAAUAAUAAUAAUAAUAAUAAUAAAAGUAGGCCAGUGGUGGUUCUCUGCAGAUUGCUGGUGAGGUCUUGUCUCGCUGGCUAAAACCAUCAAACCAACUAUGUAACUGAAGAUCACGCCACUUUAGUAAACCCACUUUGUACUGACCCUUGGUGUGUUGGCCAACCUUCCUUGCAACAUUGCCAUACAUCGCAUUACUUCAUGGAAAAUGGAGUGAUACCUGUUCUCUGCUGUGUUCAGUUUAAUGCAGGACGUCACUGAAAAAAGUCACAAGAGAUCCAAAGACCUACUGUUUGCAGCUAAUUAUGCCAGAGGUGGGCUGAUCUUGUCACUAAAUAGUGUGUAUGGAACAAAUUAAUACUCAUGGUUGUCAGGAAGCACUAUAAACACCACCAAUACCAUCGACAAGAGAUGAUGCCCCACGUUGUUUGAAGUCACUGUAGACUCCGCCAACAAUCUGCAAGGUGAUGGUUGUGAUGUUGGAGGUGUUGAGGGGCUCUGCAUCUGGCACUUCCUGGCCACGGUAGUAGGGCUUGAAUGCAGUGAA